GAUGAACGCUAGCGAUAGGCUUAACACAUGCAAGUCGAGGGGCAGCAUGGUCUUAGCUUGCUAAGACUGAUGGCGACCGGCGCACGGGUGCGUAACGCGUAUGCAACUUGCCUCACAGAGGGGGAUAACCCGUCGAAAGACGGACUAAUACCGCGUACACUCUAUUUUGGGCAUCCAAGGUAGAGGAAAUGAAAUUCGCUGUGAGAUAGGCAUGCGUCCCAUUAGCUAGUUGGUGAGGUAACGGCUCACCAAGGCGACGAUGAGUAGGUGAACUGAGAGGUUGAACCCCCACACUGGUACUGAGACACAGACCAGACUCCUACGGGAGGCAGCAGUGAGGAAUAUUGGUCAAUGGGCGAGAGCCUGAACCAGCCAAGUCGCUUGAAGGAUGACUGUCUUAUGGAUUGUAAACUUCUUUUGUAGGGGAAUAAAGAGGGGCACGUGUGCCCCAGUGAAUGUACCCUACGAAUAAGCAUCGGCUAACUCCGUG
rnacentral:rRNA from 1 species